ACCUGCACAAUGAGCUCGGACAAAUAUAAAAGGACUAUUGUUCACAGGCUAGACUUACAGGACCGCUCGGAGCCCCUCCCGCCGACUGUUUCGCUCGGAGCUCAGAUUCCACACAGCACAGAGUGACCACAACGCUGCGUAAAGUUAGUAUCCAAACUGUGCAGAAGUUUGAAAAGAAAGAGGAGUUCAAGUGAAGGCUUCAGAGUUGAUUGCUGCUAUCUUGCUGUGAGCAGUAGGAGCACAAAGACGGGAGGUUCCUGGCUUGGCUGAGCUCGGAGGCUGACAGCUCGGGGAAGCUCUGGGCAGAGAGCUGCAGCUCGAGGGAUUCUGGAGGUCAAAACGUUAUGCAGCAUUCACCAGCGGGGCCAGCAACUGCAACGCUGGGACACGGGUCGGGGAGCAGAGAGUGAGGCAGCACUGAGGCAUGCUGGGAAGAAGCCCCUUGAAACCAGUGGGUCUUGGAGGAAACUGAAAAUCUGAGCUUGAAAAGAAACUAAAUAACUUGGAAUCGAGAGACAUUUCUUCGCGAGCAGCUGCCUCGACCAAAC